GGGCAGGUGACGAUAUUUUUCUGAAUUUGUGCUUAUCAAAACCAUGAAGCUAUAAAAUUCGAGCUUUUUAAAACUGAUGCCCU
rnacentral:snoRNA from 1 species